AAUACAUCAGUUUUCCAUUAUGGUGCCUUUAAUUGCUUCAACUUGAACCUGUAUGACCUGGCAUCAAAAUAGUGCAUUCAUCCUCAACAGCAACCGUGUGAUGCUUUCAUGUCAACAAAGACUUGGUUCUUUGAGGAACCUUUCCAGCAUCUUGCUACAAUUACACCACAAGGAACUAUGGCAGAGGUAAAAGUAGUUAAUGAAGUAUGAUUGUUUAAUCUUAUUAUAUUAAAUAUCUAAAUGUAGUACAGUUUAACAUCUAAUAUUUUUAGUCAUUUCUUGCAGCUGUAUCUCCACAGUGUCCACUGCUUUAAAUUGUUGUUUAUUUCUCAUCACAGGAAGUUAUGACUGAGCCUUUAGGAAUGGAGUGACAUGAUGAAGGCAUUCAGAACCGUUAGCUCACCGUGUCGUUAAGUGUAUCCAUGUCACCCCCAUCAUUUCUAGACUGGUGGAGAAAAUUACCACAUUUAUAAACCAAAAUAAAUCAGUGGUCAAGUACUAAUAUUAAAUAAAGGAUUCAGUCUCCUAUAGACCUAUUUCAUUCAUAAAGUUUCAAAAGUGAAUAAAUGAACUUGUCUACAUCUAAACACGUGAAGCUCUGUCAUUCAGGAGUGAAGUUACACAGUUUUGUAUAUUUCUUGACUGUAAAUGGAACCGGGAACUAAAUCGAUUCCUGUAAAACCACAAUUAGUUCUCGUAAAUCCUAAUUUCAGUUUCCUUCUGAGGUGGCACAAAGGAAGUUAAUCACUUGGAAUUCCCCGCUUGGGAAAGCUAUUAGAGCACAAGUUUCAGUAAAAGCAGCCAGUCGCCCGGCGGAGACGACAGAGGACAGAUGCGCCUGUGUUCGUCUGUUCGACUACUAGUAAGUUUUCACAGACACACACACACACACUCACACCACAGUCUGUAGGCUUUAACCUAAUCUUAAUUCAGUGCGUCACUACUAGAGGCCGUUAAAGUUGCAGCGCAGCUCAUGUUUAAAUGUCUACUCACCAUUGGUCAUUCUUCAUUCAUGUUCUCCGCGAAUACAUCUGGACAAGGACACACACACACACACGUGGGUCUGGAUCGUGUCAUUGGUCGUCUCUGAUGAUUAAGACGCAGUCUCAGAGUCUUGGUGCCGUUUUUUUUUUGUAAGCGCAAGGAUUUCUCUCAUGCACGUCCUGCGUAAGUCAGUUGUCUCACAUCGCAGCGUGAUUUUACUUCCGUCCUCAGCAGCGGGGGUUUCACUUUACUCUCUCUAAGAAGCGUAUUAAACAGCCGAAGUCCACUUCAUUCGACACAUUGUAGACCACGGGUAAACUAUUAAUGCCCAUCUUGCAGGUGCAGGACGGACGAUCAGGAACCCAUAUAUUGCACACAGAAAAGCUCACAUGCAGGGCCACACGUACAGCUGCUUCCAACUGUCAGUGUUAGGGAUUGAAGGUGCACCGAGUAAGGUUACAUUUUGUCAUCUAAAAUCCCAUUGCCCCUAGCAGAAAUAUAAUCAAAAUAGUUGUGUUGAUGCACUUGUGAGUGCAAUCUAUGAAUUAUUGUUUUAAUGACCUUUGAAUGAGCCCUUUUGUAUUUACUACAAGUGGUUUACCCUGAAGGCAACAGUUGUAAUGUAAACAGUUUCAGUUUGAUUCCAGGGUUCCUGAAGCCUGAUGUGUUUCAAUCAUUGGCUGUAUAUAAGAACUGGACAGAGACACCUGGACUGAGCUGCUGGGAAAUUACUGGAAUUUCUUGACUUGGUAACAACAAGGUGUAGUAAUGGUUUAAUUCUGUUACUAGUUUUUCUGAUUCUCCACAUUUCUCUGUAUGUGCUGUAGGUUUAGACCAAAAACAUACCGUGUUGUAUUAAUUUGCCUUUGGUUAUGCACUUUUGCAGUAUCUGAAAAGGAUUGGUGUUAGAAGAAGAAUGAUAAUGAAUGUUGAUUCACUUUCCUCUGACGUAAAAGACCGUUGAAAAAAGGGACUACUUUUAUGGUGAGCCACGUGUUGGCGUUUGAUGGUAACAUGAUUUUCACUGAUAGGAAACAAAAGGUUGCAGGUAAUACACACACACACGAAGGCAUAAACACAUACACACAAUGCUCAUGAAUUCUUAGCAGUACAUAUGGUGUUCAGGACAGCUCUGAGUGUUGGCCUUUUCUAAAUCAAGACAAUGGGUGAUCCCACAACUGUUUCAAUUUGUUUGAGACAAUCAAUGAAAAGCAGGCUGAACACAGCCUACAGGCGUCCGGCCAGAUGUAAUGUGUCUCCAUCAUUUCAUGGCAGUACAAAAGUCUUAAAAAGUUUUAAUGAAACACAGUGACCUGUAGAGAUGUGGUGUUUUGUUGUGUGUCAUACCAUCAUCUGCACAGCAGAUUUUAUUGUUGCAUGAAAAAGGGACGCAGUGUGAAGAUCUUUCCCAAUAAACAAUAGACCCAAUAGGUGGCAGUAAUGCAAUUAAGAGAACGCAGAGCUGCAAUGUAAACCCAAAAGAGACAAAGGCUCAGUUAGUGCUUUAUCUCAGCUGAGCUGUGGAGAGGACUGAUAAUUGUAAGUAACAGUAAAGGCUCUUCAUAAAAACGUUUGUGUGUCCCUAAAAGUUCAGGCUGUUUUAAAGUGUUUCAUUUAGUUUUCUUCCUAUAGUAAGGCAUUUUAUUUUGUUUUGUCACAAUUAUGCAGUGAUUUAAUCACCAUAUGGUAUUGACUGGUUGUUCAGUUGUUUGUUUGUUGUUUUUUCAUAUACAAUCUUUAGUCAAAUCUAAACCUCGCCUAAAAUAUUGCAUCAAUUCAUGACCAUUAUUUUAUCAUAACUUUUGACUUUUUUAACUGCAAUUGCAAAUAAUGUCUCUUGUUUUGUCCUUCUUUAAUCCUGUGUUUUUUUGUUUUUUUUUUAAAUUCAAUGAAGAUGCUUAGUUUAUAUUAGUUAUUCAGUCAUCUUUGUCUUAUAAUUAUUCAUUGUUAAAAAAACCCAAUAAACAUGUCAAAGAAUAGAGACGUAGAACAUAAGAAGACAAAUUAAUAGUAGUCAACAUGUUCUUUUUUCUCAAUGUAGCUGUCACCCACAUGAUCCAACAGCAUUUCACAGUGACAGAGAGCCAUGGGGGUGUGACAUCCUGGAACAAAUCGUUGCCUAAUAUUAAGUGGAAACUACUUCUUGAGACCAUUUCCCAUAAAUGAGACUAUUUCCUAUAAAUCAUGUUGCAACACAUUUGUUCUUUAUUAGGAAGGUUUCGCCAAAAGUAUAUUAAAUGACAAUAAAUAGAACUCACACAACUA